rnacentral:rRNA from 1 species
UACAGAGGGUGCGAGCGUUAAUCAGAAUUACUGGGCGUAAAGCGCACGUAGGCGGCUUGGUAUGUCGGGUGUGAAAUCCCCGGGCUCAACCUGGGAACUGCAUCCGAAACUGCCUUGCUCGAGUAUGGGAGAGGGAAGUGGAAUUUCCGGUGUAGCGGUGAGAUGCGUAGAUAUCGGAAGGAACAUCAAUGGCGAAGGCGACUUCCUGGACCAAUACUGACGCUCAGGUGCGAAAGCGUGGGGAGCAAACAGG